GGGGCUGUAGCUCAGUGGUAGAGCACUUGCCUAGCAUGUGUGAGGCACUGGAUUCGAUCCUCAGCACCU
rnacentral:tRNA from 1 species